CGGGUGAGUAACACGUAUCCAACCUGCCGAUAACUCGGGGAUAGCCUUUCGAAAGAAAGAUUAAUACCCGAUGGUAUAAUUAGACCGCAUGGUCUUGUUAUUAAAGAAUUUCGGUUAUCGAUGGGGAUGCGUUCCAUUAGGCAGUUGGUGAGGUAACGGCUCACCAAACCUUCGAUGGAUAGGGGUUCUGAGAGGAAGGUCCCCCACAUUGGAACUGAGACACGGUCCAA
rnacentral:rRNA from 1 species